UACAGAGGUCCCAAGCGUUGUUCGGAUUCACUGGGCGUAAAGGGGGCGUAGGUGGGCAGGUAAGUCAGUGGUGAAAUCUCCGAGCUUAACUCGGAAACUGCCGUUGAUACUAUUUGUCUUGAAUAUUGUGGAGGUAAGCGGAAUAUGUCAUGUAGCGGUGAAAUGCUUAGAUAUGACAUAGAACACCAAUUGCGAAGGCAGCUUACUACACAACUAUUGACGCUGAGGCACGAAAGCGUGGGGAUCAAACAGG
rnacentral:rRNA from 1 species